UGUUAUAAUCUAAUAAAAUAUUUAAAUAAAAGCACACAUUGUGUUUUUAAGUAUUUGCUUUUUAAUAAACUUUGUUCGAGAAAAUCUCAUUUAAAAACCUACAUUAUUACCAAACUAUACAAAACUUAAAAAAAUCUAAUUAUGUCAAUUGACUCUAUGGUGGAACAUGACUAUGCCACUCCACAUGAUGUAAAUGUUCAUAACUUCUCUUGAAAAAAGCAGAAAAUGCUUAACAUUUGCUCAAAAAAUGCUUAACAUUUGCUUAAAAAUUACUUAUACUUGCUUGGAUUAGGGAGUUUUCAUCUUAAAGGGACAAGAAGGAGAGAAGUUAAUAGGGCUACUUACAACUGCAAUCAACCUCCAUUCAUCUUCCCAAUUAGGCAUUAGCGAUAACUACUUUUUCGUCACUACUUAGUCAAUAAGUUAAGGUUUCUUCAAAUUUUAAUGUUGUGAAGAAAAAGGCAGAUGCUCUAGUAUAGUUACUCUUACUCUCUCAUCCUAAAUUUAGUUAUGCUAUGAUCACUAUAUUACAAACUAUUAUUUCUUUGACAAAGACCUUAUACCAAAUUCAUUUGAUAUUCUUAGCUGUCAUAAAGAAAAAGAUUUCAUUACUUUUAAGUUUUUACUUUUUAACUUCAUAUGAAACCUUUUAAGUUCAGUAUUUUCAAUAAUAGAUAGUUUUGUAGUUUAGGCAUUUAAAAUUUUUGAGACCCUUAAACGUCCUUAUGAGUUGGUGUCUUGCAUAGCUUUUUGUACAUGAUGCUUUUAACACUACUAAUCUUAUUUUGAUAUCUAUUUUUAUUAUCUAAGAAAACAAAAUAGCAUAUAUUUUGUGUUUACGUUGGUGAGUAAUUGUUUAGUAUAAACCAAACCGAACAUUUUUUACUACAAGUCUACAAGGUGUCAAGGUACAAGCAGAGAUAUACGCGGGAAAUCAUAACACCGCCGGUUUGAACCGUUGUUAACAAGAAAUCAUAAAAGACGUUAGAAAACUUUUUCUUUGUAGUUUUUUUUAUAAAUGCAUUUUAAAUCUCAUAUAUAAAAUAUAAAUGUUAUUA
rnacentral:sRNA from 1 species